rnacentral:rRNA from 1 species
GACGAACGCUGGCGGCGUGCUUAACACAUGCAAGUCACGGGGGCCCGCAAGGGCAACCGGCGAACGGGUGCGUAACACGUGAGCAAGCUUCCGAUUAGUGGGGGAUAGCCGGCCCAACGGCCGGGUAAUACCGCAUACGUUCACUGGACGGCAUCGUCUGGUGAGGAAACCUCCGGGGCUAAUCGAGGCGCUCGCGGCCUAUCAGCUAGUUGGCGGGGUAACGGCCCACCAAGGCUAUGACGGGUAGCUGGUCUGAGAGGAUGGCCAGCCACAUUGGGACUGCGACACGGCCCAGACUCCUACGGGAGGCAGCAGUGGGGAAUAUUGCGCAAUGGACGAAGGUCUGACGCAGCGACGCCGCGUGUGGGAUGAAGCUCUUCGGGGUGUAAACCACUGUUGCCCGGGACGAACCUCCCCUUUCGAGGGGACUGACGGUACCGGGUGAGGAAGCACCGGCUAACUCUGUGCCAGCAGCCGCGGUAACAC